rnacentral:misc_RNA from 1 species
UUUCCGUAGGUGAACCUGCGGAAGGAUCAUUACCGAGCGGAGGGCAUUCGCUGCCCGACCUCACACCCUUUGCUUUGAUCAACGACCCGCUCACUACCUCGGGGUCUACUAGGGGCCAUCGCUGCCUCUAGAGCCCCGGUGGUAACAUCGAAACAACCCUCGUCUCAGUUGUCUAAGUGGAUGGAUUUUGAAAUCGUAAAACUUUCAACAACGGAUCUCUUGGCUCCAGCAUCGAUGAAGAACGCAGC